rnacentral:rRNA from 1 species
CUGCAUGGCUGUCGUCAGCUCGUGUCGUGAGAUGUUGGUUAAGUCCCGCAACGAGCGCAACCCUUGUCAUUAGUUGCUACAUUCAGUUGGGCACUCUAAUGAGACUGCCGGUGACAAGCCGGAGGAAGGUGGGGAUGACGUCAAGUCCUCAUGGCCCUUAUAGGUGGGGCUACACACGUCAUACAAUGGCUGGUACAAAGGGUUGCCAACCCGCGAGGGGGAGCCAAUCCCAUAAAGCCAGUCGUAGUCCGGAUCGUAGUCUGCAACUCGACUACGUGAAGUCGGAAUCGCUAGUAAUCGUGGAUCAGAAUGUCACGGUGAAUACGUUCCCGGGUCUU